rnacentral:rRNA from 1 species
UACGUAGGGUCCAAGCGUUGUCCGGAUUUAUUGGGCGUAAAGAGCUCGUAGGCGGUUUCGUAAGUCGGAUGUGAAAACUCAGGGCUCAACCCGGAGACGCCAUCUGAUACUGCGAUGACUUGAGUCUGGUAGGGGAUCACGGAAUACCUGGUGUAGCGGUGAAAUGCGCAGAUAUCAGGUGGAACACCGAUGGCGAAGGCAGUGAUCUGGGCCAGUACUGACGCUGAGGAGCGAAAGCGUGGGGAGCAAACAGG